rnacentral:rRNA from 1 species
GAACUGGAGAGUUUGAUCCUGGCUCAGAGCGAACGUUAGCGGCGGGCCUAACACAUGCAAGUCGAACGAGAAAGCCCUUCGGGGUGAGUACAGUGGCGCACGGGUGAGUAACGCGUAGGUAAUCUACCCUCAGGCGGGGGAUAACGUUCCGAAAGGGACGCUAAUACCGCAUAAGACCACAGUCUCUGCGGAGACAGUGGGAAAAGAUGGCCUCUCCUUGGAAGCUAUCACCAGAGGAUGAGCCUGCGUCCCAUCAGCUUGUUGGUAAGGUAACGGCUUACCAAGGCGAAGACGGGUAGCUGGUCUGAGAGGAUGAUCAGCCACACUGGCACUGGAACACGGGCCAGACUCCUACGGGAGGCAGCAGUGAGGAAUAUUGGGCAAUGGGCGCAAGCCUGACCCAGCCACGCCGCGUGAGUGAUGAAGGCCUUCGGGUUGUAAAGCUCUGUGGGGAAGGAAGAAAAAGCGUUGGAAUAAUACCCAACGCCUUGACGGUACUUCCUUAGCAAGCACCGGCUAACUCUGUGCCAGCAGCCGCGGUAAGACAGAGGGUGCAAACGUUGCUCGGAAUUACUGGGCGUAAAGCGCGUGUAGGCGGAUACGCAAGUCGGGUGUGAAAGCCCCGGGCUCAACCUGGGAACUGCAUUCGAAACUGCGUAUCUCGAGUACUGGAGAGGGAAGCGGAAUUCCCGGUGUAGAGGUGAAAUUCGUAGAUAUCGGGAGGAACACCAGUGGCGAAGGCGACUUUCUGGCACAUUCCUGACGCUGAGGAGCGAAAGCGUGGGUAGCGAACGGGAUUAGAUACCCCGGUAGUCCACGCCGUAAACGAUGGAUACUAGGUGUAGGAGGUAUCGACCCCUUCUGUGCCGGAGUUAACACAUUAAGUAUCCCGCCUGGGGAGUACGGUCGCAAGGCUGAAACUCAAAGGAAUUGACGGGGGCCCGCACAAGUGGUGGAGCAUGUGGUUUAAUUCGACGCUACGCGAAGAACCUUACCUGGACUUGACAUGGACUGGAAUGUACUGGAGACAGUGCAGCCUUCGGGCUAGUUCACAGGUGCUGCAUGGCUGUCGUCAGCUCGUGCCGUGAGGUGUUGGGUUAAGUCCCGCAACGAGCGCAACCCUUACUCUUAGUUGCCAUCGGGUAAUGCCGGGCACUCUAGGGGGACCGCCAGCACAAGCUGGAGGAAGGUGGGGAUGACGUCAAGUCAGCAUGGCCCUUACGUCCAGGGCUACACACGUGCUACAAUGGCCGGUACAGAGAGCAGCCAACCCGCGAGGGGGAGCGAAUCUCAUAAAGCCGGUCUCAGUUCGGAUUGCAGGCUGCAACUCGCCUGCAUGAAGCCGGAAUCACUAGUAACCGCAGAUCAGCUACGCUGCGGUGAAUACGUUCCCGGGCCUUGUACACACCGCCCGUCACGUCACGAAAGCUAGUUGCACCCGAAGUCGCUGGGCUAACCGCAAGGAAGCAGGUGCCGAAGGUGUGAUUGGUGAUUGGGACGAAGUCGUAACAAGGUAGCCGUAUCGGAAGGUGCGGCUGGAUCACCUCCUUU